rnacentral:rRNA from 1 species
ACUCCUACGGGAGGGCAGCAGUAGGGAAUCUUCCACAAUGGGCGCAAGCCUGAUGGAGCAACACCGCGUGAGUGAAGAAGGGUUUCGGCUCGUAAAGCUCUGUUGUUAAAGAAGAACACGUAUGAGAGUAACUGUUCAUACGUUGACGGUAUUUAACCAGAAAGUCACGGCUAACUACGUGCCAGCAGCCGCGGUAAUACGUAGGUGGCAAGCGUUAUCCGGAUUUAUUGGGCGUAAAGAGAGUGCAGGCGGUUUUCUAAGUCUGAUGUGAAAGCCUUCGGCUUAACCGGAGAAGUGCAUCGGAAACUGGAUAACUUGAGUGCAGAAGAGGGUAGUGGAACUCCAUGUGUAGCGGUGGAAUGCGUAGAUAUAUGGAAGAACACCAGUGGCGAAGGCGGCUACCUGGUCUGCAACUGACGCUGAGACUCGAAAGCAUGGGUAGCGAACAGGAUUAGAUACCCUGGUAGGAUAGCG